rnacentral:rRNA from 1 species
UGCGUAGGCGGCGUCAUAAGUCAGGGGUGAAAGCCCACAGCUCAACUGUGGAAUUGCCUUUGAUACUGUGGUGCUUGAAUCAGGUUGAGGUAGGCGGAAUGUGGCAUGUAGCGGUGAAAUGCUUAGAUAUGCCAUAGAACACCGAUUGCGAAGGCAGCUUACUGGACCUGCAUUGACGCUGAGGCACGAAAGCGUGGGGAGCGAACAGGAUUAGAUACCCUGGUAGUC